CCUCAGGUUUUUGGAGGAAGGUUCGUCCGCUCCAAGUUAGGCGGGAGCUAAGGUCAGGCCGAAAGGCGUAGCCGAUGCACAGACGGUAGAGAUUCCGUCCCCACCGAAAGAUUUAAGCACAGGGACACUUUUUGAAGGUCGGAGCCAGGUGUUGGUUCUGGUAGUGAUCGAGGGAAAUAUAGUACCGAAGUCCGGCUGGAAGAGAGGCGAGAAAAGCUGUGUGUAUAUCUAAGGUGCCCGUACCGCAAACCGACACAGGUAGGUAGGAAGAAGAUUCUAAGGCCAACGGGAGAAGGGUUGUUAAGGAACUCGGCAAGUUGACCCCGUAACUUCGGAAUAAGGGGUGCUCACGAGAGUGAGCCGCAGAGAAUAGGCCCAGGCAACUGUUUACCAAAAACACAGGUUUGUGCUAAAUCGAAAGAUGACGUAUACGAGCUGACGCCUGCCCGGUGCUGGAAGGUUAAAAGGAGAUGUGCAAGCAUUGAAUUGAAGCCCCAGUGAACGGCGGCCGUAACUAUAACGGUCCUAAGGUAGCGAAAUUCCUUGUCAGGUAAGUUCUGACCCGCAUGAAAGGCGUAAUGAUUUGGGCACUGUCUCAACAGCCCGCCCGGCGAAAUUGUAGUACCGGUGAAGAUGCCGGUUACCCGCGACAAGACGGAAAGACCCCAUGGAGCUUUACUGUAGCCUAAUAUUGGGUUUCGGUGUUGCAUGCACAGGAUAGAUGGGACGCUGGGAAAGAGUCGCUUUGGCGAUUCUGGAGCGGACGUUGGGAUACCAUCCUUGCGACAUUGGAAUUCUAACCUGCGCCUCUGAAUCGAGGCGGGGGACAUUGUCAGGUGGGCAGUUUGACUGGGGCGGUCGCCUCCUAAAAAGUAGCGGAGGCGUUCAAAGGUUCGUUCGAUCUGGACGGAAACCAGAUGAUUGAGUGCAAACGCAUAAACGAGCCUGACUGCGAGACUGACGGGUCGAGCAGAGACGAAAGUCGGAGUUAGUGAUCCGGUGGUAUGUGAGUGGAAAUGCCAUCGCUCAACGGAUAAAAGUUACCCUGGGGAUAACAGGCUGAUCUCCCCCAAGAGUCCACAUCGACGGGGAGGUUUGGCACCUCGAUGUCGGCUCAUCGCAUCCUGGGGCUGAAUUCGGUCCCAAGGGUUUGGCUGUUCGCCAAUUAAAGCGGUACGCGAGCUGGGUUCAGAACGUCGUGAGACAGUUCGGUCCCUAUCUGUCGUGGGCGCAGGAUAUUUGAAAGGCGCUGUCCCUAGUACGAGAGGACCGGGAUGGACGAACCUCUGGUGCACCAGUUGUCACGCCAGUGGCACAGCUGGGCAGCUAUGUUCGGAUCGGAUAAACGCUGAAAGCAUCUAAGCGUGAAGCCGGCCUUAAGAUAAGAUAUCCCACUGAGUCAAUCAGGUAAGACCCCUUGAAGACUACAAGGUUGAUAGGCACACAGUGUAAGCGGAGCGAUCCGUUCAGCUAGCGUGUACUAAUAGGUCGAGGGCUUGACCC
rnacentral:rRNA from 1 species